rnacentral:rRNA from 1 species
UACGUAGGGGGCAAGCGUUGUCCGGAUUUACUGGGCGUAAAGAGCAUGUAGGCGGCCAAGCAGGUCCGUUGUGAAAACUGGAGGCUUAACCUCCAGACGUCGACGGAAACCGCGUGGCUAGAGUCCGGAAGAGGAGAGUGGAAUUCCUGGUGUAGCGGUGAAAUGCGCAGAUAUCAGGAAGAACACCAAUGGCGAAGGCAGCUCUCUGGGACGGUACUGACGCUGAUGCACGAAAGCGUGGGGAGCAAACAGG